rnacentral:misc_RNA from 1 species
GAACCUCUCCAGCUCUCUUCUCCAUUUCCUUGCGUUGCAUAAACUAAGAUAACAAAAGAGAUGUUGUUCAGGAAGUUCUUAUUAGCCACACUUUUGGUAGGAUUAAGCCUAGCUCAAAUCUCAUUAGCCCAGAAUUCUCCCCAGGAUUAUGUAGAUGCACAUAACGCAGUUCGUGCAGAAGUGGGUGUGGGUCCAGUUUCUUGGAACAAGACAGUGGCAGCCUAUGCUCAAAAAUAUGCAAAUUCGAGGAUUGAAAACUGUGAGUUGGAGCAUUCGUAUGGACCCUAUGGUGAGAACAUUGCAGAAGGCUAUGGUAACCUAAACGGAGUGGACGCAGUGACGAUGUGGGCGAGCGAGAAGCCUAACUAUGAUUACAAAUCAAAUUCCUGUGUUGGCGAUGAGUGCUUGCACUAUACUCAGAUUGUUUGGCGCAACUCAGUUCAUCUUGGGUGUGGAAGGGCCAAGUGCAAGAAUGGUUGGUGGUUUGUGACUUGCAAUUAUGAUCCUGUGGGUAACAUUGAGGGUCAAUAUCCUUAUUGAAUUUCUGCUGCUUUUAUAUGUUUGUAAUAAGAGAUGAAAUGACCAUAUUUAUCAUAAGCUAAGUUAAGAUUACUUGCUCAGUCUGUGGACCUGAGCUUGUUUUGUAUAAUAUUUUUUUUUCUUGGCAUUUCGUUAGCUAUAUUAUGUAUAAAUUGAAAUAUAUCCCUGUUUAGUUGAAUAGCUAUGAGAAACAUGGAGUGAGAGAGGAAGGAGAAAGAAGAUAGAGAGGAGAAGGGGAAGCUAGAUGAGAAGGAGAGAGUGAGGAGAGAGAAAAGAGACAAAUUGAGCAGAAUAAUAGCAAAAUAAAUUUAAAAUUGGGCGAGCCUACUUUCAC